rnacentral:other from 1 species
GUUUCAAUCCCUCAUAGGUAGGCUACGAAC